GUCGAGGGGCAUCAGGAAGAAGCUUGCUUUCUUUGCUGGCGACCGGCGCACGGGUGAGUAACACGUAUCCAACCUGCCCUUUACUCGGGGAUAGCCUUUCGAAAGAAAGAUUAAUACCCGAUGGCAUAAUGAUUCCGCAUGGUUUCAUUAUUAAAGGAUUCCGGUAAAGGAUGGGGAUGCGUUCCAUUAGGUUGUUGGUGAGGUAACGGCUCACCAAGCCUUCGAUGGAUAGGGGUUCUGAGAGGAAGGUCCCCCACAUUGGAACUGAGACACGGUCCAAACUCCUACGGGAGGCAGCAGUGAGGAAUAUUGGUCAAUGGGCGCUAGCCUGAACCAGCCAAGUAGCGUGAAGGAUGAAGGCUCUAUGGGUCGUAAACUUCUUUUAUAUAAGAAUAAAGUGCAGUAUGUAUACUGUUUUGUAUGUAUUAUAUGAAUAAGGAUCGGCUAACUCCGUGCCAGCAGCCGCGGUAAUACGGAGGAUCCGAGCGUUAUCCGGAUUUAUUGGGUUUAAAG
rnacentral:rRNA from 1 species